ACCCCGUUCACGGUGGAGGGAAAGGUAUACUGCGACACUUGCCGCGCUGGGUACGAGACCAAAGCCAUCACCUACAUUGCUGGUAACAAAUAUUUAACUCUUAACUUUUAUGUUUAACUCUAAUUUUGUUUAGGGAUUUUGGGUAAUUUUUGUAGAUGUGGAAUUUGGAUCUGAUUUGCUAGAUCUGGAAAUGUUGCCUCUAUUGUUUGUAAAUUUAGUUGCAAUAUUUGGUUUUUUUAAUUUUUCAGUUCUGACUGGGUUUGAAGUUUGAAUUGGGUGGACUGUAUAGUCAAAUGAUGAUGCUUUUAGGGUUUUUAUGUUUAUUAUUUUGGUUUUUUUUAACAAACAUAUUAUAUACAUUAUAUGGAGGGUGAUGGGCUUAGCCUUACAAUGGUUUAAAUUUAUUUUUGGCGAGAGUCGAACCUAGAACUGUCACUUACAAGUGAAGAGGAAUACCAUUAGACCGUAGGACUAAGUUGGAUAUGUAUUAUUUUGUUGUGUGUACUUUUAGUGCCUGAUGAAGAAUAAUUGAGGUUAAAUUAAUACAUGGAGACAUUGAAUUUAUCAUCAUAUGUAUAGAAAGCAGCUUGCAAUUUUCAUUGAAAAUUAGGACCCAGAAAUUUGUACUGAGAAGUCUUAAGGACAUCCUAUCUGCAGGGUAUUGUUUGCUCAAAUCUAGGUCAACUUUGAAUGCAUACAUUACGAAACUUUUAUGCCAUUCGUGAUCAUUCGUGACGUCCUUUUGCAGAUAAAUAAUUAGGAUGAGUUUUGUUUGCUGAGUGGUUGUUGAUUCUAGUUUAUGAUCAGGUUUUGACAUAUUUUGAACCGAUUAAUUUGUUUCGAGAAUGUUAAACAUUAUCUGUUUAUGUUUUGUUGUUCAUAUGUACAUCGACUCUUUGCUCAUUUUUUUCUAACACCAAUUUAUGUCGUUCGUGACGUUGGUUUGUGACAAGUUUAGGAGAACUUUGGUGACUUGACAGUUAUUGAAUCUUAUGCUCAUGUUUGGAAUAGGUUUUGACGAAUUGACAACGAGUUUAGAUUACUGGUCUAGUGUCAUAUUGGGUUUGGUUAUGUGUAUACUCAGUAUUGUUGGUUCUUUAAACUAGCAAUUUGGAAGGAAAUAGUGGAAACUGUUUCGAUUGAAGAUGUCGUUUAACAAGUUUAUCUGGUGAUGUUAAUUAUAGGUGCCAAGGUUAGACUGGAAUGCAGAGACAAGACUAGCAUGGCACUCCUGUACACCAAAGAAGGGACAACCGACUCAGCAGGUUGCUAUAAGAUCCCAGUCGCAGAGGACCAUUUGGACCAAUUCUGUGAUGCAGUCCUUGUUAGCAGCCCUCAGAAGGACUGUGCAACAGUUUCCCCAGGGCGUGAGCGUGCACGUGUCAUCCUCACCGCCAAC
rnacentral:lncRNA from 1 species